GAUGAACGCUGGCGGCGUGCCUAACACAUGCAAGUCGAACGAACAAGCUCCAGCUUUCUUGCUUUGAUGAUUGGCGAGCAGGGGAGUAUAACGUGAGCAACAUCCCCCUAACACAGUGAUAAACCUUCGGAACGCCGGCUCUUACUCGAUACGAGAAGGUUACGCACGGGCUCUUUCAGUAAAGGAUUGCGUUUGGGGAUGGGCUCGCUGGUUACGAGCCAGUUUGUGAAGUAAUGGCUGACCAAGCCUACGAAGGGUACGCGGCCUGAGAGGGCGACCGGGCACACUGGGACUACGGGACGGCCCAGAAGGCUACGGGAGGCAGCAGUGGGGAAUAUUGCGCAAUGGGGGCAAGCCUGAUGAAGCGACGCCGCGUGAGGGAUGACGGCCUUCGGGUUGUAAACAUCUUUCAGCAGGGAAGAAGCGAAAGUGACGGUACCUGCAGAAGAAGCACCGGCUAACUACGUG
rnacentral:rRNA from 1 species